CUGGAACACAGUGUAUAGAGACCAGUAAAGGCACAUGUUGGCUGAAGGUGAUUAAUGGACGCUGUGAGAUCAACAUCAACGGAGCCACUCUGAAAUCCCACUGCUGCUCCACACUGGGAGAGGCCUGGGGAAGUCCCUGUGCCAAGUGUGAACCAGAUCAUUUCUGCACUAAGGGUUAUGCUAGAGUCAGAGGGACCAUUUGUGAAGAUGUUAAUGAGUGUGAGGUGUUUCCGGGG